rnacentral:misc_RNA from 1 species
GAUCAUUACCGAGUGCGGGCUGCCUCCGGGCGCCCAACCUCCCACCCGUGACUACCUAACACUGUUGCUUCGGCGGGGAGCCCCCCAGGGGCGAGCCGCCGGGGACCACUGAACUUCAUGCCUGAGAGUGAUGCAGUCUGAGCCUGAAUACAAAUCAGUCAAAACUUUCAACAAUGGAUCUCUUGGUUCCGGCAUCGAUGAAGAACGCAGCGAACUGCGAUAAGUAAUGUGAAUUGCAGAAUUCAGUGAAUCAUCGAGUCUUUGAACGCACAUUGCGCCCCCUGGCAUUCCGGGGGGCAUGCCUGUCCGAGCGUCAUUGCUGCCCUCAAGCCCGGCUUGUGUGUUGGGUCGUCGUCCCCCCCGGGGGACGGGCCCGAAAGGCAGCGGCGGCACCGUGUCCGGUCCUCGAGCGUAUGGGGCUUUGUCACCCGCUCGAUUAGGGCCGGCCGGGCGCCAGCCGGCGUCUCCAACCUUAUUUUUCUCAGGUUGACCUCGGAUCAGGUAGGGAUACCCGCUGAACCUAAGCAUAUC